GCUUAUUGUAAAUGCAGAGACUUCCCAGUGGAAACACUGCAGAGGUCAUGAUUAUUGAAAUCAUUAACCCCACAAUCUGUGACUUUCUUCUUUAUAACCCACGUGAAGGGGCCUAAUCCCUUUAAGCUGUAGAGGUAUGUACUUGUGGCAGAGAGUGAAUGCAUCUGAAUCAACAAUCUCCCUCUCGACCUGUGAGAGCACUGUACAACAGGAACUGUGUGCCUCAUACUGAAUGGUUGGGCAGUUCAUUCCAGGGGCAGUCGGAAGCCGGCCAUUCAGGAAGGGGGCGGAGUCAAGGUACCAGGAGUCCUCGCCCUACUACGACGGCUAAUACGAAUCUGGGAGCUGCCGCUUCAAGCCAGCGAUAAAGCCUGGACUGCACUUCACCUGUCUACAAACAAGCACCACUGUUUAAAAUCACUGCACCUGCACCAAGAGCACGCACUGUCCGGAGACGUGUCUGUAUCUGUGUUCUGUGUCUGUGUUUUGUAUUAUUAUUUCGGGACUGCAACCCCUUGGUUUAUACGCUGGCAAUGCCCAUAGUUGGGUACAGCCAGCAUUAUUAUUUCAUACAGUCAAGGAGAUCAUUAAAAAGAAAAAGAAAAUA